AAUCCAUAGGUUAAUGAGGCGAACCGGGGGAACUGAAACAUCUAAGUACCCCGAGGAAAAGAAAUCAACCGAGAUUCCCCCAGUAGCGGCGAGCGAACGGGGAGGAGCCCAGAGCCUGAAUCAGCAUGUGUGUUAGUGGAAGCGUCUGGAAAGGCGCGCGAUACAGGGUGACAGCCCCGUACACAAAAGCGCAUGUGCUGUGAGCUCGAUGAGUAGGGCGGGACACGUGGUAUCCUGUCUGAAUAUGGGGGGACCAUCCUCCAAGGCUAAAUACUCCUGACUGACCGAUAGUGAACCAGUACCGUGAGGGAAAGGCGAAAAGAACCCCGGCGAGGGGAGUGAAAAAGAACCUGAAACCGUGUACGUACAAGCAGUGGGAGCACCCUUUGGGUGUGACUGCGUACCUUUUGUAUAAUGGGUCAGCGACUUAUAUUCUGUAGCAAGGUUAACCGAAUAGGGGAGCCGGAGGGAAACCGAGUCUUAACCGGGCGUUAAGUUGCAGGGUAUAGACCCGAAACCCGGUGAUCUAGCCAUGGGCAGGUUGAAGGUUGGGUAACACUAACUGGAGGACCGAACCGACUAAUGUUGAAAAAUUAGCGGAUGACCUGUGGCUGGGGGUGAAAGGCCAAUCAAACCGGGAGAUAGCUGGUUCUCCCCGAAAGCUAUUUAGGUAGCGCCUCGUGAAUUCAUCUCCGGGGGUAGAGCACUGUUUCGGCUAGGGGGCCAUCCCGGCUUACCAACCCGAUGCAAACUGCGAAUACCGGAGAAUGUUAUCACGGGAGACACACGGCGGGUGCUAACGUCCGUCGUGAAGAGGGAAACAACCCAGACCGCCAGCUAAGGUCCCAAAGUCAUGGUUAAGUGGGAAACGAUGUGGGAAGGCCCAGACAGCCAGGAUGUUGGCUUAGAAGCAGCCAUCAUUUAAAGAAAGCGUAAUAGCUCACUGGUCGAGUCGGCCUGCGCGGAAGAUGUAACGGGGCUAAACCAUGCACCGAAGCUGCGGCAGCGACACUGUGUGUUGUUGGGUAGGGGAGCGUUCUGUAAGCCUGUGAAGGUGUGUCGUGAGGCAUGCUGGAGGUAUCAGAAGUGCGAAUGCUGACAUAAGUAACGAUAAAGCGGGUGAAAAGCCCGCUCGCCGGAAGACCAAGGGUUCCUGUCCAACGUUAAUCGGGGCAGGGUGAGUCGACCCCUAAGGCGAGGCCGAAAGGCGUAGUCGAUGGGAAACGGGUUAAUAUUCCCGUACUUGGUGUUACUGCGAAGGGGGGACGGAGAAGGCUAUGUUGGCCGGGCGACGGUUGUCCCGGUUUAAGCGUGUAGGUGUGUGUUCCAGGUAAAUCCGGUUCACUUUAACACUGAGGCGUGACGACGAGGCACUACGGUGCUGAAGCAACAAAUGCCCUGCUUCCAGGAAAAGCCUCUAAGCAUCAGGUAACAUCAAAUCGUACCCCAAACCGACACAGGUGGUCAGGUAGAGAAUACCAAGGCGCUUGAGAGAACUCGGGUGAAGGAACUAGGCAAAAUGGUGCCGUAACUUCGGGAGAAGGCACGCUGACACGUAGGUGAAGUGAUUUACUCAUGGAGCUGAAGUCAGUCGAAGAUACCAGCUGGCUGCAACUGUUUAUUAAAAACACAGCACUGUGCAAACACGAAAGUGGACGUAUACGGUGUGACGCCUGCCCGGUGCCGGAAGGUUAAUUGAUGGGGUCAGCGCAAGCGAAGCUCCUGAUCGAAGCCCCGGUAAACGGCGGCCGUAACUAUAACGGUCCUAAGGUAGCGAAAUUCCUUGUCGGGUAAGUUCCGACCUGCACGAAUGGCGUAAUGAUGGCCAGGCUGUCUCCACCCGAGACUCAGUGAAAUUGAACUCGCUGUGAAGAUGCAGUGUACCCGCGGCAAGACGGAAAGACCCCGUGAACCUUUACUAUAGCUUGACACUGAACAUUGAGCCUUGAUGUGUAGGAUAGGUGGGAGGCUUUGAAGUGUGGACGCCAGUCUGCAUGGAGCCGACCUUGAAAUACCACCCUUUAAUGUUUGAUGUUCUAACGUGGACCCGUUACCCGGGUUGCGGACAGUGUCUGGUGGGUAGUUUGACUGGGGCGGUCUCCUCCUAAAGAGUAACGGAGGAGCACGAAGGUUGGCUAAUCCUGGUCGGACAUCAGGAGGUUAGUGCAAUGGCAUAAGCCAGCUUGACUGCGAGCGUGACGGCGCGAGCAGGUGCGAAAGCAGGUCAUAGUGAUCCGGUGGUUCUGAAUGGAAGGGCCAUCGCUCAACGGAUAAAAGGUACUCCGGGGAUAACAGGCUGAUACCGCCCAAGAGUUCAUAUCGACGGCGGUGUUUGGCACCUCGAUGUCGGCUCAUCACAUCCUGGGGCUGAAGUAGGUCCCAAGGGUAUGGCUGUUCGCCAUUUAAAGUGGUACGCGAGCUGGGUUUAGAACGUCGUGAGACAGUUCGGUCCCUAUCUGCCGUGGGCGCUGGAGAACUGAGGGGGGCUGCUCCUAGUACGAGAGGACCGGAGUGGACGCAUCACUGGUGUUCGGGUUGUCAUGCCAAUGGCACUGCCCGGUAGCUAAAUGCGGAAGAGAUAAGUGCUGAAAGCAUCUAAGCACGAAACUUGCCCCGAGAUGAGUUCUCC
rnacentral:rRNA from 2 species